rnacentral:rRNA from 1 species
ACAUACGACCAUACCCAUUGGAAAACUCGGGAUCCCGUCCGCUCUCCCAUAGAUAAGCCAGUGAGGGCCAGAUUAGUAGUUGGGUCGGUGACGACCAGCGAAUCCCUGGUGUUGUAUGUU